UGCGCGUCGACAAAAUUAACAAAAAUAUUUUUUUCUAAGAAACAUCAUAAAACUAUUUAGUUAAAAUUGGCUAAAAAUACUACCAAUAAAUAUUUAUGCAAAAUAAAUACAACCACAAGUAAAAAAACAUAUACUAAUAAAAAUGAUAAUUUAACAGAUUUAAAUACAUUUCGACAAAAAAAAAGAUUUAAAAACAUAAACAGCAUGUAGUAAUUGUAAAGUACUAAUAACUAAUAACAUUACUAAUUAUUGUAUAAUUUAUUUUGUAAAAGAAAAAAAUAAAAGAACACCCCUUGUGAAAUGAAAAAAAAAACAUUAAAUGUGAUAAUUUUUUUCUCAUUGACUUCGGACUGAUUUAAACUUAAUAGAAAAGAAAAAUAAUAUUUAUAGCGAAAUGGCGACAAUUUGGACUAUUUUCUGCGACAGUUUCUUUUCUCUCUCUACGAGCGGUUGUCCA
rnacentral:lncRNA from 1 species